ensembl:lncRNA
UUUUAAACAAAGUUCUGGUAGGGCAUGUGAACAAUGCUGAUUGCUCAUUUAUAAAUAAGAUUUAUAUAUACUCCUUCCUUUGGUUUUGGAAUUAACAAUUUCUUAGUUCCAGAGAACUGAGAAGGCACCACCUUGGAGGAGCCUCUAAAUGACUCUUGUAUCCUGAAAACCCAUGGUAACCUCAUUCCUACUCUGCUGGUUCCAAUUAACCUUUCUGUAAGCUAUUUAUAUGUGCAUGCUGUAGCCUUUUAAGAGGGGCCAGACAUUUUUAGCCACACUGGAUCAAAUAAUAUGGUUUAAUUCAUACAUGAUGUGGAUUGGAUUAUACAGAUGUCUUCACAUCUGUAUAUAUGCCUAAAAAUCCCCAACAUUACUAGGGCUUCAGCAGUAUUUUAAGACCAAUGCCUUCUAUGGAAACACUCAGAAUGUAUCUGAAUACAGGUCCUACGCUGUCACCAAAAGCAAUUUACCAUCUAAUUCCAGCGAAAUCCUAAUAACACCACAAGACCAGGACUGUCUCUCUGGGAGACAGUCCCCAGUUCCCAUCUCCUUCCUCUGUCUAGAGUGAUCCAUUUGCUGUUCCACCUUUGUAAUUUGCAUACUCCUUUCAUUCGGAGUUUAUCACAUAAAACCUUGCUAUUUUUGUAUGUAUUCGUGUCUUUCUCUUUAGCUGUAGCAGGAGCUUCUUAAAGGCAGAGAUAAUAUUCUCUUUGUGUUCCUCCUACCCGCUCCCACACCUUCCACCCACCCGAACUGGAAUCCUAACACCAUGCUUUGCACAUAGUUGAAGUUCAGGGUUCUAGAAAAGUUAAUAAUGGAUGAAUGAAUCAUAAACAUAAUGUGGGUCAUUUCCCCCAUGCAAUGCAUCACCUGUCUUUGCCCACUCUGACAGCCCUCAGCCUCUUCUCUGCCCACUCCCUCAGCUUCCCAUAGUUUCUCCUCAUCUGUCUGGCAUUCAUCUCUACCUCUAAAGCGCUUUCCAAUCUGCUGAAAUGCUGGUGCCUGUACCAUGACUCCUCCUUUUAACUCCUUUUCAAAGCCAUUCAAUAAGACUUAAUUCUAAGGCUUAGCACUCUUCCAUUUGAGAACUGUCCUACCACUCUGGGCUUCUUCAGCCCUGAUAAUACUGCCCGCUCCCCAUACUCAACCUAUGAAGCCUCCCUUAGCAAACGAGCUAGUUGUCUUGGAACCAAAAGAAGCUAUGUGUAGUGCCCAAGUCACCCACUAAAAUCCCCCUGGAAACUGAAGAGCUGCAUGUGUUUCUCCCUAGGUUCUUUCCUUAUGCCAUCUUUUCUUGAACAUUGACAAAAAGCUGCAACUAUCUCCAAUUAUUCCUAAGCUUAAGUGUUUGCCAGAAACUGAUGCAUAUGUAAAGCAUGCACUCUUACUGUACAUGAAAAAAAAAAAUUCUUUUUUUUUUUUUUUUUUUGCUUUAGUGAUUACUUAACAGAUGUUCCUGGCUAUAGUGACCCUAAAUUCUAACUCUGCCUACCAUUACUCCAGAGAUGUUUUCACUAACCACUCUCUCCUCUAACGAUCACAUCGCCCUCUCAUUGGGUGGGGGGUAGGGGGCGCUGCAUCAAUAGUCCCAUUUUACAGAUGCACAGUCUGGGGCUGGGAGAGCGGUUUUGUGAUUUUCCUAAAUUGCCAUGGUUUGUAAAUGGCGGUGGUGGUACUGAGACUUUCCUACUUUCUCAAGCUUUUGUCAAAUUUGUCGUGAGCAGCAUUUGCUGCAGCCAACUUUGGUUCCUUGGAAAUGUAGUCAUCCAUUUAAAUGCUGGCUUCUUUGUUUAUUUUUUGAUUUAAUGUCUUCUAAUUGAAUAAACCAGAUUUACAUUUUAAAGGGAAAAUCACCCUUAUAGUCCUCUUAGUUUUUAUAAAUCUUUGUAACAAUUUUAACAGGUUCCUAUGUUAGAAUUACAAGCAGCCAAAAGAUAUACAUGGAACACCUCCUUGUUAGCCCUACUGCCAGGCACAGAGAGGCUGGUGCAGGGUGGGAAAUGGCAUGGGAUAGGAUGGGGAAGAAACACAGGGAGCUCGAGGGCCUGGAAUGAGGUCCACGUUCCCCUGAAGGAGUGCCUUGUCCAAAGUUUAUCCUUCCUAAGGUGGUUUUUUCCUAAAUCACAGAAAUGUGCCGCAUAGACUUGCUAGAAGGGGAAGGGGGUGAGACGCAGGAUAGUUUACAAUCUAAUCUGAGAGUCAAGCCACAUGCCACAAGUCACAUGCACACAGAGGCCCCCACCUGUGUUGCAUUGGGAUAAAAAACAUGCUAGAAAUGUCACCAAAAAUGUACACCAAAAGCUGGCUGCAGCCAUAAGCAAUAAAGGAAAAUAAAGGAGAGGUGACUGUAGGGUGAGAAAAUCUGGAAAGCUUUGUAGAGAAGAGACAGUGAUUUGGAAAGCGCACAAUCCUAGCUGAAGGAGGACAAUGCUGUCCCAUCCCCUGGCCUACCUAGUGCUUGCUUAAGGAGACUCCAGGCCUGUGGAAGCAAGUAGGAUAUGAAAUGCUACUGUCUGCUACAAAAGAGAGGAGAGAGAAGAAAGCAGGGGUCACAGAGUGGGCAAGGGCAUGCUUCUGAGCCACACUUCCUGGAUCUGCGUCCUGGUUUGCCACUCAGAAGCUACAUGAACUUGGGCAAGCUACUGGUAGAUUCUGGACUUCAGUACUGGUAGUGCCUACCUCCUAGAGCCAGUAUACAGAUUAAAUGAGAAUAUUACCCACAAAGUGCACAGAACAGUGUCUGGCACACAGUAAGUGCUCAAUAAGUGCUAGUUAUUAUGAUCACGCAUGCAUACAUGUGUGUACAUUUACUGGUAGCACACAUGCUGCUGCUGCUGAGUCACUUCAGUGUGAUCCACAAGUAGUACUAGGAUCCAUAGACCGAGAUUUACUCUAAAAGACACCAGGAAAGGUCAGAGAAAGAGGACUUGACCAUCAUGUGCUGCUAAUGUUUUUACAUGAGUUAACACCUUGAGAUAACAACUCAGAGGAAAGGACAGUAACGAAGAUGGUGAUGUUUGGGACUGAUCUUAUGUCCUGGGCUCAGGCACUGGAGCAGAGGGUUCAAACAUUCAAGCCCUGUUUGGAUUCCCCACACCACAACCUGGAGGCAAAGCUGCUAUUGGCUCUGUUGCUCUGUCAGAGGCAAUAGAUCUGAGUUGUGCCCUCCCCAGGGGUUUUUGUGGUCCAGGCCCUGGAGGUCAAGGAAACCAGCCUCAUUGCUAAGGGGAAUUUCCAGGGCUGCUCUCGUCACUGACAGAGUCACUGCCUGCUCUGCCUUGCUCCAGACUGAAAGGCACACAGAGGCCUGCCCCAAAGUACAGGAAGUUGGGGCCAUCGCCCUACCCUCUACACUUGGUGAAAUCUAUACUGUUGGGCAAGUUACUUAAUCUCUUCAAACUACAUCUCUAAAAUGGACGUAAUAAUAAAAAAUCAUUACGGGACCAGUUGUGAGGUUUAGAUACAGCACGGUAAAGUUUAGCAUUCUAUAAAAGGCAGCCACUAUCGUUGUGAAUAGCUUCUACCCCUGUUGUUUUGAUGCUGCAGGUAGCACAUCUGAAAGCACGCCUGAAAUUCAUCAUUAUGGUGACCAGAAAAUGUAUUGACCAAAGAGGGGAGUUUGGAGUAAAGGGAGUGCGAUUAGUGAUGGCACUGGAACAACAGGCAUAAAUUGGGACUGUUUUGGGUAAACCAACCAGUUCAUGAUUUUCUACCCAUUAGGAAAUGUUUUCUCCUUCUUGACAUUUCUGUCUUUUGAAAGGCGUUUAUUUUAUUGUGUAUAUUGCUUAGCUCUCAUUGAUGGGGGAAUGAAUAUGUGCUAGCCCUUAUACCCAGCACUCUAAGGAAACGAACUCUUUAACACCCUUCUGAUCACUAUAGGAGGUAGGUGUGACCUCUACUGCACAGCUAUGGAAUCUGAGGCUCAGGGAGGUUACAUAACUUGCCCAACCAAGGUUACAGGUCCACUAAAUGGUAUCUUGGCGAUUUAAGACAUCGGCCAAAGCCUAUGACUUCUACUGGAUCAGAAUGUUUAGAGGUGAUUUGAGGAUGGGGGCCUUCACUCCCACCUCUCACCUGCUGGACCUAAAGGGUGGGUUGAGGUGCAUAUCUUCCUCCCAUGUGCUUACCAAUUCCCAAAUCAUCAGCUCUGAAUAACCAUUGCCUGCAAUCUGAUUUUCAUAGAAAUGGGAGCUUCAUACAGUUAUUAAACCUGCUCCUGGUUUGUUUGUAUAUGGAAUUUUGUGUAGUUUUCAUAAGACCUGAAGAGUAAUAGCUAAGCUGGCAGUAGAUUAUAUCUCUAUUUUUUCUAUUUUGAUAUUCCCUGGGUGGGGUAGGGGCUGGGCAGCAAUAUCCCUAGUCCUGAUGCUCUUCAUAGAUGAGCUAUACAGAAACCCUUGUUUCAGGAAUGCCCACUUUGAACUCUGCCCUGGUGAUACAGAUGCACUGCUAUUGUGGAAAACAUUAACCUUUGAAAACUUAGUUCCAUGGGAGCAAAGCUAUGGCUCCCAUAAAACUGGGGAAUGAUACUCAGAACUCAGCCAAACUUCAAGGACAACUUUAUCAUUUCUGGGGCCCUAAUUUUCAGGAUGAUAGCUCCCAUGGUGUAAGAUAAUGACUGCUUCCUAUAGCAGCAGCAUAAGUAUGAAAAGUGCUCUUUGGCAAACACGUUAUUCAUCCAUUGUCACAGAGCCUGUCAUGUCCAGAGUGCUCAUCCAGAAGUAAUCUCUACCUACAUCCUGUCAUAGCAAGCGCAAGUUUUCCUCCAUACCUUCUGGACCUGGUUUCUCAGGACCACUGAUAAGAGCUUCCAUUUAGAACUUGGCAUCACUAGCAGGCAAGUCACAACUUUUGUCUCAACUAAACUUUAGCCCCAGGGACAGCCUUCAUCCGGGGGUUAAGGGCUUCCAAACUUUCAACAGCGGCAUUGAUGCCAGUCCUAAGGAGUGGGAAGAUCAAAAUUCCUCCCUCCCUACCCACUUGGAAGCAUGCAAACUGAAAAAUCUAUUCUCAAAUAUUCUGUUGAGUAAAGAUUCCUUUGUGUUAUUUUAACUGGGUUUUUAUGGAGACAGGGAUUCAUUUUUGUGUCCCAUGUCAUGAGUGACUUUAAUGAGAAAUGGCAGAAGUCAAUUCAGGGGAGCCCACAUGCACCUGGGUCUAGGCCCCCACUUCACUCCCCUGACAGGUCAAGAAACCAUGCAAGAAAUUACAGCCUUACUCUUCCAGAGACCUUCAGCACAAAUAAUGCCUGCUCCUGAUUACCAGAAUAAUGCCUGCAUAAUUUGGAAAGAGGGAGAUUCCCUGCUUUUGGUACAAGCACUGUCUUCUUAACCAUCAGGGGUGUCUGUACACACUGUUCUAUCUCCCUGAAAUAGGUCACCACUUGGUGGUUUUUUCUUUCGGUAAACACCUGCUAUCUUUAAGACUCAGCUUAAGGGGGGCACCUGACUUCACCUGGAGGACUUGGAAGAUCUGGAAGUUACAUAGGGCCCAACAUGCUCCCUUUGACAAACCUCAUCUCAUUUUUAUACUUACUAGUUGAAGGCCUGCCUUCAUUCUUGGGUCACGAGCUCUAGCUCAACCUGGACCUGUCAGCCAUGUUCCUCACAUGGCCAUUACCUGGCAGAAGCAGAGAAGGCUCUCAGUGAAGGAGUGGAAUAUUUGGGAGAAUGUGUCUGGUGCAGUGGUGGUAGCAUAUCAGAACCUUGUAGGGACCCGUGGAAUGCUUACCUGAAGCUGGAGAUGCUUUCAGGGAUCACUAGAUGGUUAGUUUCUGCUUUGCUCCUGAAGUCCUAGAGAGUUAGAAGGAGGUUCCAGAAAAAUCAUGUCUUCCAUUUGAUUAUAUCACUUUAUGGUUUAUAUAGAUAUUUCACGUAUGCUAUCUCAAGGCAAGGAAGGUUCUCUUAUUUCCAUCUUACUGGCAAGGACACGGAAGUCUCAGAGUGGUAUAGGAACUUGUCCCCAGUCACACACAGUAUGGGGUGGAACUGGAAAGUGAAUUAUCUCCUGCUGUGACACAACUACAUUAACAAUACAGCAUCAUUAAAAACUAUAACAAUGCUGAUUGUGUCUUACUUCUAAGUUCCAGCUGGUCACAGAUCAUUUGGAGCAUUUUUCAAACUGUCUCUACCACUUAUCAAGGAUUCAAUCAUUGCCUUUUUGCAAGUUUACCCUGCCUUGAGGAAAUUUUUAUUAUUGGAAUUCUUACGCCUGACGAAAAUCGCCCAUGUUCUGCAUUUCACCCAUUCUUUGAUAAGCCAUUUUUACGUGUUUGCAUUUCUGCUUGCGGCUCUUUCCUUCAGCCAGGACACUAACCUCCAUGUCUAGCCUAUGUUUAUUCUUCUGGGUCUCCAGGUGUAUCUUUUUUCGCUAUUCAUCCCUUGAUACUUCUAUGUUACCCUGUCUAACUCUGGACCCUUCCUUAGGUGAGGUCUAGAGUACCUACGACAUCAACGAUGCUGCUUCAGUGUCACAGGGUCUGGCCUCAGAGCCACAUGACUGCUAAGUUAACUACCACAUCAGUCAAUUCAUGCCCAAACAGGUGAUUCUCCUGUAAGCCUAACUACUCAGUCUAAUAUCACCAAAACAUCACUGGAGCACCUUUGUUGGAACUGCUUUCAGAAAUUAGUGACACCUUAUUUUUAAUAUUCUCAGUAAGCUUCUGGUUCAAGAUGAUGGAUGAAGCACAUGCUACAGCCUUUCCUUGUCACCCCCAGUCUCUGAAAGUGAUAGAAAAGAUAGUUUUUACCUUCAUAAGUGAAUUAUAAGAAAAGAAGUGUAGCCCUCCUUGGGCCAGAAAUUCUGGUAGUGUAAAAAAUGUUGGGAUCAACCUAAUGAAGGAAACAAAUCAAAAUACAUAUGGGAGAGAAGAGUAUCCCUCCAUAAGCAAGACAAAACCCAGUAGGGCUCCACACUGAAGGCCAUGGAUACAGGAAGCUGGAGAGAAAGUAGGGACAACCAGCAGAUUGAAGAGCUGGCCCCAGGAGCUCUUAUGUAUCUUCUCUCCUCCUACCAAGUGGCAGCUGAAGUGGGGCUCUGCCCAAAGAAGCUAUGGAUAGAGAGGAGUGGGGCUGGAGACACAGAAUAUACCCAAGCCCUGCAGCCUCGGUACUAAGGUAUUCUGACUAGAAGCACGCCUUCCUCUUCUUGAAAAGAGAGUACAAUCUGCAGCAGAAUAUCUGGCUUCUUCCAGUCCUUCCCCAAAAGGUGGGGAACAGAAGCAGCCCAGCUGACAAAGAAAUUCAGCCACAAAGACGAGCAUAUAAUUAAGACUCACCAAAUAUUUGGUGACUGCCAAUGCUGUGGGAGAAGGCAAUGGCACCCCACUCUCAGUACUCUUGCCUAGAAAAUCCCAUGGACGGAGGAGCCUGGUAGGCUGCAGUCCAUGGGGUCGCUGAGAGUUGGACACAACUCAGUGACUUCACUUUCACUUUUCAUUUGCAUGCACUGGAGAAGGAAAUGGCAACCCACUCUUAGUGUUCUUGCCUGAAGAAUCCCAGGGAGGGCGGAGCCUGAUGGGCUCCAUCUAUGGGGUCGCACAGAGUCGGUCAUGACUAAAGCGACUUAGCAGCAGCAGCAGCAGCAGCUAAUGCCGUUGGAAGGGAGUUUAUUUCACGAACUGUAAACAGAAGAGUUCAUAAUCGAUGAAAUAGGGCUCUAGAAUAUGUUGCAUCAACGGCCUCAAAGACACCAGCAGACAUUGCAUCCAUAAAAGGAUGAACAGACAAUGGACAUUAAUACUUUGGCUUUUGAGAUACAAACCUGAAUGAAUGGACUGAAAAGCCAAAUACAUAACAGUAGAAGUGAUGGCUGGGAAAUUCAGUCAAGGAAGUACCUUACAAUGUGGCACAAAGAGAUAAAAGAGAUGAGAAAUAUAAAAGAGCAGCCUGCAGGCUCCCACAGAGUGGAAAGAGUGCCACACGUGAACAAUUCCACCGAACUGCUUCAGGUGCCUGUUAAAAUGAGAAUACCCUCAGGAGAGACAAAAAGCUGAAGGACAGCCCCUGGAGACUAAUUGUUUUGGUGAGAUGAUUUCCUCUGACUGGUCAAGGAGAAGGAAGCGGGUGGAUAGGAAAUGAAGAGAGAUAGCACAGCCAAGGAAAUGUGGUGGAGAGUGGCUCUAGAGUUGCAUUCAUGCCACAUCAGUGUCCCACGACCACCAAUUACUCCAUGGCACCAGGGUCACAACUGCUGACACAUGGACCACCAAGGGAGCUUAGAGAUCAUCUCAUUCCCAGGCCUCUCAGAGUAUCCAAGAAGGUGUGGUUAUCUGCCCGCCAGGACACAUUUCUUCAGUGAUCACCCCCAAGGACACAACUCCAGUCUAGAGACUCCGCUCUUACCAACUAUUCCCAUACUAUCCCUUGUUAUCCACACUCUUGUGGGAGACUGAGGACUAAAGGCAGCAGCAGCGUUUACUGAACUCUGUGUGUUUCAUCCAGAUACUCUGCUUUCCUUAGAUUCUGAGAAUGCGUCUGGGGCUUUAAAGAAUGAGCAGAGCCAGAGGAGAUGGCCAAACCUGGCCACUUGCAACUCACAUUCCCUGACAUCCCAGGUCAGUGCCCAGUGCCUGAGCCUAUAGGUGGCACUGGCUGGCCUGAGGGUAAUCGUGCAAAAGAGCCGAGAGAGGUGAAGAGGGAGAACGCUGGGGAAAGCUGUGAAGGGAAGCUGAGAGAAAGGGUAAGAACCCUGGGUAUCAGAUCCACAGCUCAAAGAGGUCAUGUGGCCCAAUCCCCUUGUUUUAAUAGAUAAGGAAAGGAGGUCCAGAGAGGUUAGGUAACCCUACUGUUUGAGGUCAGUCAGUGGCUCCCUCACCAGAGAUUGGCCCUGCUCUAGGCCAUUUCUGUGGCCUCACAGUUUGUUCAUUAAACAACAGAUAAGCUCACAAGUAAAGGCCGGUAUUGCUGCAUUUAUCUGACUAUUUGGGUGGUGGCUUCGGGCCAACUCAUUGCUGGAAUUUGGCAUUUGGAAUCAGAGAUAGGAUAAGGAAAAUAUCCCUCUGGGUACAUGUGAAUGCAUCAUGACCCCAGGCCUAAGAAGCUUAGCUUGUCAACUGUUCAUUCAUUCCCUUCACCAACAUUUACUGAGCACGUACUAGGUACAGGCACCCACGGUGUCCCCCUCGGAGGCCCCAGAGAGGAGUGAAUAGUGAGGAUUUGCCUUGGAGGAACUUGCGCUGUGGUGAUGAUGAAGGACAUCCCACUGCAGAGGCAGCUUUGUUGCUGCCCUUCAAAGGACUUAUCACAACCAGGUAGGUGAGCCAACGCAAGGCCUCUGGGGACCUCGGUGUGGUAAAUCUUGGACACGAAGGCUCAGACGUGGCUAUGAAUCUUGCCACGAGAAAGAGGUUCAGUGGCCUCUGGCUGGUGGCCGCAGGGCUGCCCCCCCUGUUUAGGAACCUUGCAGGUUGCUUUUGAGUCAUGGAGUCACACAGCUCUGUGUGCCAGGGAGACUCUGAAGCUUGAGGAGCAACAGCCGAAACUGCUGGUGCCCGGUCCCAGAGGUUUCACUUUGACCGUGGGCUCAGUGUAUCCUGAGGCAGAGAGGAUCCACAUCCUUGACCGGGUCCCCAGGGAGCCUUGGGGAGUAAACAAGGUCACAGGGCUAGUUAACCACAGAGCCUAGACUGGAACUUGGGCCCAUGACCCCAAAUCCCUCUAGUGUGAUACUGUCACUUCUGCAUUGCCUCACCUCAGGUAAAAAGUCAAAAUUGGGCUGAAAAAAAUCCCACUACCAAUAAUCCUUUGAGGCCAGAUAACAUGUUGUGAAGCCGUUCAGUCACGUCUGACUCUUUGGGACGCUAUGGACUAUAGCCUACAAGGUUCCUCCGUCCGUGGGAUUCUCCAGGCAAGAAUCCCGGAGUGGGUUGCCAUUUCCUUCUCAAGAUAACAUGUUAGAUUCUUUUAAAAUUGAGUUGAAAAGUGAAGUGGUGGGAAACCUCUUGAAGUGCUGCUAUGGGAAUGAUGCCCAGCCUGGCCUGUUCUGCCUCUCCAUGAGACAGACUCAGCCUGCUGGUGAGAAAAAAGUAUGGUUUGCAUGUCAAGUGACUCCUUACAAAAGGCUCUGAGGACGCCAUGGGUCUCCAGUCUCUCGACAUCAAACCCCACCCCACCCCCAACCCAACUUGUCUCAUGGCCUGAAAAGGCCAUCAUCUAGAAGGCUCUUCAGGUGGUCAAUGCUGAUACUUUAAAACAAACUCACCUGGGGCAGGAUAUCAGAUGCAGCCUACUGGGAAGACAAUGGAUUGGGUAUCUGAAGGACAAGGGGGCAGCCUCGGACAGGUGAAGGUGAAAGCUGAGGUAAAGGGGCAGUCAGUAAGCAGCUGUGGAGAAAGGAGCAGUUUCACAAGCAUGCAUUGGAGUCAUGGGACCUCAAAGAUGAGUAGGAAAGCCCCAGGCCUGCCUGACACUCAAGAGCUUUGGAUCUGUGUGCUCAUGUGAAAUGUAGAUUUUGGUAUUUACUAGAGAAACUUGCCUUUCAGGCACCAUCAACUGUCUUUCCUAUGUGUAAGGAAAGCUUGUGGCUGAGGUCUCCCUAUGGUGCCCUAAAGGGGAGUCCAAGCCAACUGCACAAUCUUUAUCCCACCAGAUCUCCCUUGUUAGUUUCUAUUAUCUCUCCUCCAGAAAAAGAAAUUCCCAGGGACUCACUUGGAUGCCUGCUAGGAAAAAUGACAUACUCACCAGUGUCAUGACCCCAAUGCCAGGACAUGGAAAUCAGAUCACAGAAUGUGCACACGGAAAACUUUUCCCAUUUUUAAGUGACCAUUGACAAGUGACCUUGCUCCUCUGGAUCUCAUGUGGUUGGUUCAGUUUUCAAAGGAGAGAACUGUGCUAUUGUAAGAUCUCGGAGCUUUGCUCCCCCUACCACAACCCCGCCUGCCAUCCCAGAUCUGAUACUCUGUGUUUCCUCGAUGUAGAAGUUCAUGGGCAGUUUUGCCUCCCAUCUUACAGACUUGUGGUCCUCACAUGAUGUCCUGGUGUACAGCACCUUCCUCAGAAAACUUUCCACAUACCUCCUGUGUCUGAAUGUAGCGCCUUGUUCAGACAGGGCCCUUAAUGUUUAACGAAAGCCUCCACAACUCUAAUGACUUGGCAGUCAAAAGCAAGAGUCUCUCAGGACCCACAUCAAAGAGAAAGGAGGAGGGAUGUUUCUAUUAGGUGAGAAAAGGCUCAAGGAAGGAGAGGAAGACACAGACCGCUCCUGGGAGGCUCGCAGGGCAGAACCAGUUGAACUCGGGUGACAUGGGGGAGACAUGAGGUAGGUUAUCUGUGGUUCAGUGAGGCGUCAAGAGUGUGGGUAGAGACAGCCAAGAAAUAAGGCUGACUAAGGAUAAUUCUGGGAGCCUUGUAGUUAUCUGGAAGCAAAAAAAGUUUUUAAAGGGAUUGAUGUAAUGAAAACUGAGUUAGAAAACAAUCUGGCAGCAGCGUGCAGGAUGAACUGAAGGGAUGGUCAGGACGUCAGGUGACAAUGGAGGAGAAAAAUCUGCGUAGAGGUGGAAAUGCUUCAAACACAGGGGACAGAUUUGUAGUGAGCAUAUGCAUAGCCCUGGACACUGUCCUCCCAUGGGACAUAGUUGUAAAGGAUGUAGAUCCAGACCCCCAGCCUUGGGGGACCUCAUCUUCCAGGAGCGAAACAGGAGGGAGACAACCCUUAAGAAUGAAGACCUCAUUUUAUUCAGCAAAGGAUUUGAGGAAACAUACACAUCCAAUUCAGAAGGAUAAAUAUAAAUGAUUUUAACUGUUGUCCUUAACAUCCCUUUAGAUGAAACAAUGAUUUGUGUGUGACUGACAUAAAGUCACUCGUAGUUGAAGGCCUGGCACCAGAGCAUGACUAGGCAAAGGUAGCUGCAGAAGGGAUUUGCACACCAGGUCCAAGUGUGCAACGCCUCAAAGGCUGUGGGGCUUGACACUCAGCAAAGGCUGCCGACGGGCUGGAGUAUGGAUUGGCCCCAUGGGGAGAUGUUCUGUUUGGCAUCACAUCUGAAAGUCUGAGAGGAGUCCUGGGCUCUAUAACAGCUACCCAUCUCCACAACUGUGUCAUCCAUGUAGCCCUUAAAGCCAUCAGAUCUUGGGAAUGCCAAGAGUGGAAUGAAGGGUCCACCAGAAAACUUCAAUUUGGGGAGAUUUUUCCCAACAGAGGCCUUUGAAAACCACUGGACAUUAGAUUUUAAGGUAAUUUUUUGCAAAAGUCUACAAGGAAGACAUUAAUUUGCAUUCAACUGACCACUGAGAAUACACUUUGAUCAUUAAUGGAGCAGAGGGUAGGGUUAAGGUCCAUUUCAAAAAUUAAGAUAUGGGUCCAGAGGUAAAGGGAAAUCUUGUGUUAGAGACAAGACAUUUUUAGGGAAUAUCUUUAGAACCUUGUGAUGUGUUUAGACUGGGAUACAGAGCAAAUAGUCCUAGGGGGUAGGAAAAUAAGGGUAAGGGGUAAGUAAAGAUUUUGAGAAUGACUGGGGAAAUGAUAUAUGAGAAAGUUGGGGUGGGAGGAGAAGUUUAGGAGGAAGUUAGUGGAUUUGGUUUUAGCCGUUAAGUGUGGAGUGAUGGUGAGACAUCUAAGUGCUGAUGUUCACUAGGCACUUGAUGCUUCAGAUAUCGGGGUAAAGAAAGAGGACAGGGCCAAGAAGGGAACUGAGGGUGGGUACCCACACAGCAGCAAGAGCUAAAGUCAGGAAAAGAAAUGAGUUCUCAAAAGGAGUAUGAAGCCAAGAGCUAAGCUCUUAGGCUGGGAAAUGCUCAGGGAGCUAGGAGCAGGUACAGAGGAAUUUCUUAUUACAGAGGAGCAGUGGGAGAAAGUGAAAGUGAAGUCGCUCAGUCAUGUCUGACUCUUUGUGACCCCAUGGACUGUAGUCUACCAGGCUCCUCAGUCCAUGGAAUUUUCCAGGCAAGAGUACUGGAGUGGGUUGACAUUUCCUUCUCCAGGGGAUCUUCCCAACCCAGGGAUUGAACCCGGGUCUCUCACAUUGCAGGCAGAUGCUUUACCAUCUGAUCCACCAGGGAAGCCCAAGGAAAAGCCUAUCAAAACAGCCAUUGGCAAACAGAUACAAGGAGAAGAGAUAGCCAAAUGGGUCCAAAGCCAUUGGAGUGAAAUCAAAUGAACAAAGAUGGAAGGGGAAAAGGUACAGUCUAGGAGGUAGGAAGGGCAUUAACAUCUCUGAGGGACUGAUGGGAGUAUAGGUAAAGCAGAAGCCAGAAGUUAUGAGGAAAUGGGUUGAAGGGAAAUGGUAACAUAGGUUAUUUGGAAGAAAAAGAAGUUAACCUGCAAAGAAGAUAGGAGGCCAGAGAUGUAAAAGGAAAACAAGGAGAGGCAGCCAGGGAAGAACCAGGCAUGUAGUGAGAGGACAUGGAAAGCGCGUUUGGGUUAAGAGGAUGGGCUUUCAGCUCGCACAGAUUGCUGCUCACCUCCCACUCUACCUACCAUUUGCUUUGACAUGCUGAGGCUCAGUUUUUCAUCUGUCAAAUGGAGGCAUAACGAACUCAUUCUAGAAAGUUGUUGUGGUGCCUGAGCCCUAGUGCAUGUAGAGCACUUGGUGAAACAUUCCAGGUGAGAGUGAAACUGAUGCUACAGGUAUCUGGUCUUGUCCACACUCUUCAAGGGACUCUUGACACCCACAUCCAGGCUGUUUGUUUCUCUUGUAAAACAGCAAUAGCAGCUGUUACAACUUUUCUAAAAAUAAAAAAAAAAUUAUUUUUUGGAAAUUCAUGCCUUUUGAACAUUCUCCAUCUUCCAUCUUCCUCUUUCUCAAUUACCAUAGCAUCCUAGCCACACCUCCUUGCUCAUCAUAAAAUGCUGGCACUUAGCCAUGAGCAGCCUCUCCUGGUUUCUUGUUAGCUUUGGGCCAGUCCUCCUCCCCCACCUUCUUUUUAUAAGCUUUAUCCUCUAUAUUCUGUCAUCAAGUUUUGGUGUCCCUUAAGAUACCCUUCUCAGUCUAUACAGUUUCCAUAGCCCAUAAGUCAGCUUAGACCUCUUUCCUGAAUUAUAGAUUGUAUAUUACCUCUUGGAUAUUCCAAACCUCAAAACUGGUCCAGGCUCAGAAAAUGGCACACCACCCCUCUAGAUACAAAGUGUGGGGACUUAGAAGGCAUACUUAACAUUUUCCUUUUUCCUCAAAUCAUUGUAUUUAUAUCAUGACUACCAUGCCAACUUAACCACCAAAUAUCUCACAAACCUGUCCACUUGUCUCUGUUUCCCAAGACCACAAUACCGCCUUCUAUUGCCUGAAAAACUAUGGAAGUCUCCCCCACCCUCUCCAGCACCCCUCCCCGCACUGUAUUCGUCCCACUCAAGUCAGAGAUUUAUAUUUGUAGAAUGCAGGUAUGACUUUGUUGAUUCCUUAAAGCCCUUCGGUGGCUCCUCAUUUCUCUUAAGACAAAUUCUAACCUUUUUAAUAUUCCUACAAAACUUUGCACAGGUGUAUGUUAUCACUUCAGCUCAACCCCAGUGCACCCCACACUCCUCCUGCUCUCUGGGCCCCAGGUCCCCAGCCUUCUUCCUGUUCCUUGCUGAUCCUUCUUUCUGCUUUACAUCAUGCUCACCCUUGCUCUGUUCCCAUUGGUCCCAGGCUACCAGUCUCAUUCCAGAGCCCCUCCUUGAGAUAGGACCCUCUCCAGCCAUAGGUCUUCCUGUCCCCAACUGGAUGUUCUCACUCACUUGGGGGAACCAUCCAAUAAACAUCUGUAACUUCUCAGUCCCUAGGGGCUGAGGUCACAUCUGUCUUGCUCCGUGCAAGAGCCCUAGUAGUCAGCCUUCUAUCUGUGGGGACCGAGAUCAGAAGGUGUAGCAGGGAGAACCAAGGUGCCUGGGUUGUAGGGGCAUGAAAGAGAGAUUGGUCAGGUGUACUAGAGAGAAUGAGGAGGGCAGGCUUGGCACCCAGAGCUCAGACCUAGGUGGCUGUGUCUUCUCCCUGCUGGACAGGUCACUGCCAUGCUGCAAGGUAGGAUUUGAUAGGGUCUGGCCAAGUUGGACAGCACUUUUGCAAGGUAAGAGCCUGCCUUCCCACCUUGCAGAGGGUCAGGGCUGCAUCAGGGGAUCUGGGAGGCCCUUCCAGCACUGUGGGGCCCAGAGUACAUCCUGACCCCAAGACACUGGUACACCCAGCCUCUGCUGUGCCCCCUGCUGACUUUGCCCUUGCUCACACUGGGGACUCUGUAUUGGUAUUUCUUUAUCUCGAGGUUGUAGGGCAUUAAGGUGGCAGGAUACCUGUGGUCCACGCAGCAUGGGAGCACAGGCCUAGUUCAACAGGAGGCCAAAGUCUCUGCUUGGUACAAUGUGGGAUGCUUCAAUGAAGGAGACCACUCUGCAAACAAAUGCCUGGAGAGCCAGGAUGCAUGUAAGUCGAAUCAUUAUACUGUACACCUUAAAAUUAUAUACUGCUGUAUGUCAAUUACAACUCAAUAAAGCAGAAAAAAAAAUGCUCUCCAAGAGGAAAAAGGAAAGAGAAAACCACAUCAGAA